CACAACAUACGCACGUGCUGUGGUACGUGUUCCCUACGUCUGUAUACGCCCCAGAGACACGUUCGAAGUGCUAGAAGGCUUUCUGCAACCUACCAAGGAACGAUCAGAGUCUAGACGAACACUUAACUUCGUCAAUUAUUCGUGGAAAUUUACUACAAUUGGAAUUCCCGUCACUUCUAGCGCUCGAAAUCGUUGACGGCUUUUGACAGCGCUGAAAGGAUGAAUUUUUGUAUAGUAGGUGUUACCUUGUUGCUGUCGGCAGUAGUAGUACUCAUUCUGGAUGACUACGGAUUAAAAAUGGAACAAGUUUUGUUUUUGGGCUUACUCGUGACAGGGCUCGUGUUCAUUGUGUUGGCCUUCAUACAUUGUUUCAUCAAGACUAAAGAAGGAAAUGGUGGACGGCAACGUAAUGAACAAAAUGCCCUACUUGCAGUGGUCGUUGUACGGCAUGCGGUAGUAGCGGUCUUCCAAGCAGGCGGAUUCAUGAUGAUUGUUGUGCGGAGGAUUGCAGAUGUUGUCGUUGUGCAUGGAGCAGGCAGACUGGCUAUAGACAAUAGGCAUUGAUGGUACCCUUCUACUAAGUAUGUGCUCCAAAGCAGAUGUUGAAAACGUUUCACUAGUGCUAACAGCUCUAUUUUGCAUGCUAAACCGUUGGCUUAUACCUAGUCGUUUUUCUAAGGAGAGUGACCUAUACUGCUAUAGACCUACUAGUAGUGCUGUAUUUGUGUAGGACCUAACAUUGUAUACAAUUCAACGUGUUAAUUAUUAACUAGACGUCUGAAUUACGAGUAUAGUCGUAUAGAAAU